rnacentral:snRNA from 1 species
GUGCUUGCUUCGGCAGCACAUGUACUAAAAUUGGAACAAUACAGAGAAGCUUAGCAUGGCCCCUGCGCAAGGAUGACACGCAAAUUUGUGAAGCGUUCCAUAUUUUU